rnacentral:lncRNA from 1 species
AGGGUCUUUAGAUUUUCUGCUGUUAACAAAGAUGUUCUAUCCAUAUCAAGGCUUUAACCAACUCUCCCUCUCCUCAGCAACUGAGUUGUAAUGAAGUAGUGAGAACUCUGAAGUUGUGGAAGGAGAGUGUGCGAAUGGGUGUUCCCUGACUCAAAAGUGAGUCUCUGGAAAAGCCACUGCAGAACCUGGUCAGUCUGGGUAGAGGUAGUUAGAAAGUAAGCUAUGGCAUUUCCCAGUAACAUCACCGGUAGUGUCUUCCCUGGAAAUUCUCUUGUAUCCAGGAAACACUAGAAUGUUCUGUGAUGUCAGCAGUGUUGUGGUGACACCAACUGCCUGAGCCAUUUCCCUUCAUUUCCUAAUGGGUUCCCGAGGAGGCAUGUUCUCCAGGAUCCUCAGUCUCUUUCAGAGGGACAAUCAUAUCCAUGCAGAGACCAGACCAAGGCAGAGGGAGGCCAGCCUUCUAUCACGUUGGAGAACAAGACGAAUGGAAAGGUCCUGGAGGAGGUCAAAGUUUGAUCAGAAGGCAUCAUCCCAAACCUCCAGGACACCUGUUGAAGAGGAGAGAAUGAAGCGUUUGGAGAACCUCAAAACUGAUCUCCACAAGAUGCAGAAGGAGAGAGAUGAACUCAGGAGAAUCCUGGCU